rnacentral:rRNA from 1 species
GAUAAUCGUCUCGGACGCUGACGAGUGGCGAACGGGCGAGUAAUACAUCGGAACGUGCCCAGUCGUGGGGGAUAACUACUCGAAAGAGUAGCUAAUACCGCAUACGAUCUGAGGAUGAAAGCGGGGGACCUUCGGGCCUCGCGCGAUUGGAGCGGCCGAUGGCAGAUUAGGUAGUUGGUGGGAUAAAAGCUUACCAAGCCGACGAUCUGUAGCUGGUCUGAGAGGACGACCAGCCACACUGGGACUGAGACACGGCCCAGACUCCCACGGGAGGCAGCAGUGGGGAAUUUUGGACAAUGGGCGAAAGCCUGAUCCAGCAUGCCGCGUGCAGGAUGAAGGCCUUCGGGUUGUAAACUGCUUUUGUACGGAACGAAAAAGCUUCUCCUAAUACGAGAGGCCCAUGACGGUACCGUAAGAAUAAGCACCGGCUAACUACGUGCCAGCAGCCGCGGUAAUACGUAGGGUGCGAGCGUUAAUCGGAAUUACUGGGCGUAAAGCGUGCGCAGGCGGUUAUGUAAGACAGAUGUGAAAUCCCCGGGCUCAACCUGGGAACUGCAUUUGUGACUGCAUGGCUAGAGUACGGUAGAGGGGGAUGGAAUUCCGCGUGUAGCAGUGAAAUGCGUAGAUAUGCGGAGGAACACCGAUGGCG